UAAGCAACAUAUAAAUACCUUUACGGCAGACACAUGCAGGCAAACCCAGAACCUCCCAAGAAGAACAAUGACAAGUCCAAGAAGAUCAGCCGUAAACCUCUG